rfam:Paraphaeosphaeria sporulosa strain AP3s5-JAC2a unplaced genomic scaffold CC84scaffold_3, whole genome shotgun sequence.
GACAACGUGGCCGAGUGGUUAUGGCGUGUGACUCAAGUGAGCUUCCGAGCGACCUUUCCUACAGCUGUAGGACGCAUUCUCAUGAGCUUUGCUCUCGUGGGUUCGAAUCCCACCGUUGUCA